rnacentral:lncRNA from 1 species
GUGGGCGGCCGCGGCCCUGUCCCAAGGCGGCCUCGGGCGGCGGCGCUGAGCCGGCUGACUUCCCGGGAGGAGCUGCCCUGCGAGUGAGCGGCGGCGGGCGCGCUUAGCGCCGCCAACAUGCGGCGGAGCCUGCGGGCGGGCGCGGGCGGCGGAGACCCGAGGCGAAGGCGGCGCCGGCCCGGGAGGCGGCGGCGGGCGGCGGGCUCGCGGCCCUAGCGAGGCUGCUGGGGCAGCGGCGGGCGACGUCCGCGAGGAUGCUGUCCCGCAAGAAAACCAAAAACGAGGUGUCUAAGCCGGCCGAGGUUCAGGAUCUCAUGCCUUCAUUCAUUCGGCACGGUCCAACAAUUCCAAGACGGACUGACCUCUGUCUUCCAGAGUCAAGCGCUAGUGCUUUCUCAGCUUCUGG